CUCUAAGCACUCAGUGCGGCUGCGCGCGAAGAGUCUCGACCGUCGGAUCUGCGUUCAGUCCUCGGUGUGAGGUGAAAAUAAGCAGCGAGAGAGGGGACCAGAUGAAGUGGAUCAGACAGCCGUGCCCUCUGAAGUAGACUGUGCCACACUUCCAAGUACACCCUGCAUAAUUGUGUGUGGAAGUUCCCCUUUGACUGCAGAGAACUUUGUUUUCUGUCGACCAAGUCAUAGUUAACAGCCACAUCACCAUCUUCUGCGAUGCUCUGAAGUUGAUGUUUGCCUCAUACUACUGCUUGAAUAUUUCAUACCCAGGAGACCAAGGAGCAACGCUAGAGUUCGUGCAAAGUACAGAAACUCAAGAGGAUCAAACGUGUCUCCAAUAUCAGACGGAAAACUCCCCGGG
rnacentral:lncRNA from 1 species